rnacentral:rRNA from 1 species
GACGAACACUGGCGGCGUGCCUAAUACAUGCAAGUCGACCUUAGUGGCGAACGGGUGAGUAACACGUGGGUAACCUGCCCAUCAGAAGGGGAUAACACUUGGAAACAGGUGCUAAAACCGUAUACUGAUGGAUGGAGCCGCGGUGCAUUAGCUAGUGGGGGAGGUAACGGCGUACCAAGGCCACGAGGCAUAGCCGACCUGAGAGGGUGAGCGGCCACAUUGGGACUGAGACACGGCCCAAACUCCUACGGGAGGCAGCAGUAGGGAAUCUUGCGCAAUGGACGAAAGUCUGACCGAGCAACGCCGCGUGAGUGAAGAAGGUUUUCGGAUCGUAAAACUCUGUUGUUAGAGAAGCGGUAUCUAACCAGAAAGCCACGGCUAACUACGUGCCAGCCGCCGCGGUAAUAC